CAAUAGCGUAUAUUAAAGUUGUUGUGGUUAAAAAGCUCGUAGUUGAACCUUGGGCCUGGCCGUCCGGUCCGCCUCACCGCGUGUACUGGCUCGGCCGGGCCUCUCCCUCUGUGGAACCCCAUGCCCUUCACUGGGCGUGGCGGGGAAACAGGACUUUUACUGUGAAAAAAUUAGAGUGCUCCAGGCAGGCCUAUGCUCGAAUACAUUAGCAUGGAAUAAUAGAAUAGGACGUGUGGUUCUAUUUUGUUGGUUUCUAGGACCGCCGUAAUGAUUAAUAGGGACAGUCGGGGGCAUCAGUAUUCAAUUGUCAGAGGUGAAAUUCUUGGAUUUAUUGAAGACUAACUACUGCGAAAGCAUUUGCCAAGGAUGUUUUCAUUAA
rnacentral:rRNA from 1 species